ensembl:misc_RNA Y_RNA Y RNA
GGCUUGUCCAAUGUCAGUGGGUUAUCAGAACUUAUUAACAUUAGUGUCACUAAAGUUGGUAUACCACCCCCCCCCCCCACUGCUAAAUUUGACUAGCUUAAA